AGAGUUUGAUCCUGGCUCAGAUUGAACGCUGGCGGCAGGCCUAACACAUGCAAGUCGAACGGUAACAUUUCUAGCUUGCUAGAAGAUGACGAGUGGCGGACGGGUGAGUAAUGCUUGGGAACUUGCCUUUGCGAGGGGGAUAACAGUUGGAAACGACUGCUAAUACCGCAUAAUGUCUUCGGACCAAACGGGGCUUAGGCUCCGGCGCAAAGAGAGGCCCAAGUGAGAUUAGCUAGUUGGUAAGGUAACGGCUUACCAAGGCGACGAUCUCUAGCUGUUCUGAGAGGAAGAUCAGCCACACUGGGACUGAGACACGGCCCAGACUCCUACGGGAGGCAGCAGUGGGGAAUAUUGCACAAUGGGGGAAACCCUGAUGCAGCCAUGCCGCGUGUGUGAAGAAGGCCUUCGGGUUGUAAAGCACUUUCAGUUGUGAGGAAAAGUUAGUAGUUAAUACCUGCUAGCCGUGGCGUUAACAACAGAAGAAGCACCGGCUAACUCCGUGCCAGCAGCCGCGGUAAUACGGAGGGUGCGAGCGUUAAUCGGAAUUACUGGGCGUAAAGCGCACGCAGGCGGUUUGUUAAGCUAGAUGUGAAAGCCCCGGGCUCAACCUGGGAUGGUCAUUUAGAACUGGCAGACUAGAGUCUUGGAGAGGGGAGUGGAAUUCCAGGUGUAGCGGUGAAAUGCGUA
rnacentral:rRNA from 1 species